rnacentral:rRNA from 1 species
UACGUAGGCAGCGAGCGUUGUUCGGAGUUACUGGGCGUAAAGGGUGUGUAGGCGGUUGUUUAAGUUUGGUGUGAAAUCUCCCGGCUCAACUGGGAGGGUGCGUCGAAUACUGAAUGACUUGGAGUGCGGGAGAGGAGAGUGGAAUUCCUGGUGUAGCGGUGAAAUGCGUAGAUAUCAGGAGGAACACCGGUGGUGUAGACGGCUCUCUGGACCGUAACUGACGCUGAGACACGAAAGCGUGGGUAGCAAACAGG